AUUAACACCUACUAUCAAGUUUCCCUUCCUAACAUUUGAAUGGUAGCAAUGGAUGGCAUCGGACCCCAGCCCCGUGACUAAACAAAAGGCAAGAUGGCCAUCACACGUGAGCCUGUUAUGUCCCAGGGAGGACCAGCGGCGUCAGUUUCUGGGCUUCUUAAAAGAUUUGCACAAUACAUCACUCAUAUUGUUAUUUUUAUCUCUGUAAAUUUGUGAUGGCCUCUCCAAAAA
rnacentral:lncRNA from 1 species